GACGAACGCUGGCGGCGUGCCUAAUACAUGCAAGUCGAACGCUGAAGGAGGAGCUUGUUUCUCUGGAUGAGUUGCGAACGGGUGAGUAACGCGUAGGUAACCUGCAUGGUAGCGGGGGAUAACUAUUGGAAACGAUAGCUAAUACCGCAUAAUAGUAGAUGUCGCAUGACAUUUGCUUAAAAGGUGAAAUUGCAUCACUACCAGAUGGACCUGCGUUGUAUUAGCUAGUUGGUGAGGUAACGGCUAACCAAGGGAACGAUAGCUAGCCGACCUGAGAGGGUAAGCGGCCACGCUGGGAUGGAAGCACGGCCCGGACUCCUACGAGAGGCAGCAGUAGGGAAUCUUCGGCAAUGGAAGGAAGGCGGACUGAGCAACGCCGCGUGAGUGAAUAAGGUUGUCGGAUCGUGAAGCUCUGUUGUAAGUGAAGGUCGAGAGGGAGUGUUGAAAGUUCACACUGUGACGGUACCUGAACAGAAAGGGACGGCUAACUACGUG
rnacentral:rRNA from 1 species